GUCUCCACCCUAGCUGUGGUGACACACAGCUGGGGAGGUUACAGCCUGCAAUCAGAAUCCCUGGCGGGGAGGGGCGGUGCCCAGGUGUUGGUGUUUUUAUAAAGAGUGGAGUAUGAUGAACCACAUGGACAGGGCGCUGUGGCUCCUGGGCCACCUGGGCGCACAGGUGCGCCUGUGUUACAGUGUUUUCUUGGAGAGUCCUGGUAGCAUGACCUUCGGCUGAGACCCGUCGCUUGGCAGCUGUGCAGAAAGACGCAGCUCAUUAACUCUGCAUCCAGAGACGAGAACCUUGAGGGCUGUAACACCAGUGUACCCAGGGACGGCUCACAGAAUUAAUGAACUUCAGAAAAAGUCAGCGGUUACCUGCUGGGGCUUGGAGCAAGCUCUGGACUGGAGUCUUCCUUCCCUUAAACAGCAGGAGUUCCCACACUCGGGCGCAAAUGCGAAUCCCCCCGCGGUGGGCUGGGCUGGGGGCCUGGAGUCUGCACGUGUUAGAGGCCCCUCAGGAUGUUCGACUGUCUCAGGGGUGGGCGCACCCCGCCCCUCCCUCCCCCGGGAACCUUGCAGACAAUGUCAUUACAUCAGCAGUGAUCACUUCUAGCAACUGAACUUGCACGAAGCCCUUCGGUACUAGCAGCAAACAGCGGGUGUGUUCUGUGUGUGGAGCAGCAUGUGAGUGAUUUCAGGGUACAGAGCCACUGGAAGACCUUGUUCAAAUCCUGCCUGCUGGUCAUGUGACCAAGAGGAGUUCACUUUGCCUGUCUUUGCGUCUGGGGACCCAGGAUGCUCACCAUCGCAGGGGCGCUGGGCUGCUGUGAGGUGCUCCUACUGCUGGUGCUGCUCAGUCGUGUCUGACUCAUUGCGGCCCCAUGGACUGUAGGCCGCCAGGCUUCUCUGUCCGUGGGAUUUUCCAGGCAAGAAUACUGGAGUGGGGAGCCAUGUCCUACACCAGGGGAAUCUUCCCUCCCCAGGGGAUCGAACCCGAGUCUCUGCAUCUCCCUGCAUUGGCAGGUGGAUUCUUUCACUAGUGCCACCUGGGAAGACCAAAGUGAAGAUGUCUAGACCUUAAACACCAAGUCUUGGAGCUAGGUGAGCCCUCAGGGAUCUGCUGCUCCCGACGGGAAGAUGAGUAACACACUCCAUGGAGAUCCUCAUCUCUCUGCCAGCCCAGUGGAAACAGAGACCCUGCUGCAGGCUAUAUGACCAGCCCACGCUAGUUAGUAACAGAAGCCUCUCUGGAACUUGAGUCUGGGCCACUGCAAAGCAAGGACGAUGCUGCUGGGAGGGAGACUUCCGCCUCCCCUCCCUCCAGCGGGGCUCACUGUGGGGAACCGCAGCUUCAGACAUCAGACGUGUGCACCUCAGCCCCAAGAAGCAGCCCUCUGUCCCCCCCUCACCCCGACCCUCAAGCUCCAAGCAGAAGGCAAAGCAAACCGGAAUCAGCACCCAUGAUAAAUGGUGCUUGGAUGAUUUCUAAUUGCGAGAAAAGUUACACGGAAGACUUAAUACGCAAGGAGGAAAUUUAGCUGUUGAUACCUAACACACCCAUAUAAACGUGUGACCGAGUCACCAUCUUGAGAAACCAAGGACUCAACAGGCAGUCCUCCGAACAUCUUUGGCUGGCAGCUCUAGUCCCUCAAAAGACAAAGGAUGUUGAAUGCACAAGGAAAUCACACUUUGCCAGGAGGUCACACAGUGAGUGCCCUGAGACCACCCUUCUGACCUUCACCAACUCCCCCGCCUGUUCUCGCUGAAGCUUUCUCACAGUGAGCGUCACCAAAAGCCAUCGACAUCUUUAAUGGGAGGGCUGCCUUUUUUCUGUUUCCGGGAGAGCUGUUAUUCUAGUUUGGGCUGCUUUAGCAAAAACACCAACAGACUGGGUGGCUUCAACAACAAACACUUACUGUUCUGGAGACGAGGAAGGCCAAGGUGCUGGCAGAUUUGGUGUCUGGUGAAGAGCACGUGUCCUGGUUUGGAGGUGGCCAGCUUCUUGCUGUGUCCUCAUAUGAUGGCGGGGGUGAGGGAACAGCCUGAGGCCCCUUUUUAUAAGGGCACUAAUUCUACCACGAGGGCUCCACCCUCGUGACCUAAUCACCUCCCAGAGGCCCCACCUCCUAAAAUUCCCACCAAAUGGAAGAUGUUAACUACAUCAUGACCACAAACAAGGAGUCCCCCAGACCUACAGGUGUCUAGGAAUGGACAGUUAACACCUGUGACAUCACCUCAUUACCUCACCGUCACCCAGAGAACUGUGCACUAGCUGAUCACAGACCCUGGGAUGCCCCUGUGUCACCUGGCCUUCAAAAAUGCUGUCUUGAACCCUAUCAGAGAGUUUGGGGUUUGGGGGCAGCAGCUGUCCUGGAAGUCCUUGCUGGGCGCCUACAAUAAACGCUGCACUUCCCUUCACCACCACCUGGUGGCAGUAGAUGGGCUUUACUGCGCAUGAGCGAGCAGACGAUUUGGUUCGGCAACAUGCACGUGGGCAAAGCUGAAGUUUUGGGGAACGAAAAACCCCAAAGCCCAAAGGGAUACAGGGAAACUUUUGG
ensembl:lncRNA